rnacentral:rRNA from 1 species
AGCUCCAAUAGCGUAUAUUAAAGUUGUUGCGGUUAAAAAGCUCGUAGUUGGAUUUCGGCAAUCAGGGGCCGGUGAUAUAUUUGUAUCUACUGGCCCAUUUGGUCGUAUUUUUGAAAGAGGGUUUGGGGUCCCCUUCACUGGGUGUCCUGGGUCGUUUUCAGGUUUACUUUGAAAAAAUUAGAAUGCUCAAAGCAGGCUUUAACGCUUGAAUAUUUGUGCAUGAAAUAAUAGAAUAGGAAGUUUGUUUCUAUUUUGUUGGUUUUAGGAUAACCACUUAAUGAUUAAUAGGGACAAUCGGGCGAAUUAGUAUUCAAAUGACAGAGGUGAAAUUCUUGGACCGUUUUAAGACUAACUACUGCAAAAGCAUUUUCCAAGAGUGUUUUCA